GAGACAUACACUUCCUUCUGAAGCAGCUCGUGCUGUUUGGUUAUGAUGAGCAAGCUGGGGCACUGCAGCAAGUCCUAGAAGAGGUUUUGCAGUUGAUGGAGACCUCCAUCCCAGAAAUAUGGACUCCGGAGCUGCAGCAGAGCUUCAUCAACCCGGUCCUGGGCCCCAAUUCAACUGCAAAUAGCAUUAUGGCUGCCUAUCAGCAGAAGAUGAUGGUGGCUCCUGUUGUACAAGAUCCAGAAUUACUUAUUCCGCCAAAACUCAAUAAAAAUCUACAGUGGAAACUGCAUCUUCUCCAAUAACUAAAAGACAAGGAAUCCCAGUGGACUCUGAACUGCAUCUUUUGGUAUAAUUUCAUUACAUCUUUAGAGAAA